GAACUUCAAUUCUGUGGAAGACACAACGCGUCUUACAAAACCCGGGGUUUGAGCCUCAGAACAGAAAGAAAAGAGCGAGAAAGGCGAGAAGGAAACUGAUCUGAGAAGAGGAUGAAAGCGUCAACAAGGAGAGAAGAGAUGCAUGACAUCGCAAUAAGGACAAAAUGCUUGGAGCAGGGGGCACUGUGUAACCAGGAAGAGGAGACAAGUCACUCAAGACUAAGGAUGAGAG